CCUUUUGUAUAAUGGGUCAGCGACUUAUAUUCUGUAGCAAGGUUAACCGAAUAGGGGAGCCGAAGGGAAACCGAGUCUUAACUGGGCGUUAAGUUGCAGGGUAUAGACCCGAAACCCGGUGAUCUAGCCAUGGGCAGGUUGAAGGUUGGGUAACACUAACUGGAGGACCGAACCGACUAAUGUUGAAAAAUUAGCGGAUGACUUGUGGCUGGGGGUGAAAGGCCAAUCAAACCGGGAGAUAGCUGGUUCUCCCCGAAAGCUAUUUAGGUAGCGCCUCGUGAAUUCAUCUCCGGGGGUAGAGCACUGUUUCGGCAAGGGGGUCAUCCCGACUUACCAACCCGAUGCAAACUGCGAAUACCGGAGAAUGUUAUCACGGGAGACACACGGCGGGUGCUAACGUCCGUCGUGAAGAGGGAAACAACCCAGACCGCCAGCUAAGGUCCCAAAGUCAUGGUUAAGUGGGAAACGAUGUGGGAAGGCCCAGACAGCCAGGAUGUUGGCUUAGAAGCAGCCAUCAUUUAAAGAAAGCGUAAUAGCUCACUGGUCGAGUCGGCCUGCGCGGAAGAUGUAACGGGGCUAAACCAUGCACCGAAGCUGCGGCAGCGACGCUUAUGCGUUGUUGGGUAGGGGAGCGUUCUGUAAGCCUGCGAAGGUGUGCUGUGAGGCAUGCUGGAGGUAUCAG
rnacentral:rRNA from 1 species